AAUAGGCUAAUUAAGAGCGUAAGGGGAAUGCCUUGGCUCUCAGAGGCGAUGAAGGACGUGAUAAGCUGCGAUAAGCUGUGGGGAGUGGCACAAACACUUUGAUCCGCAGAUUUCCGAAUGGGGUAACCCGGCAUAUUGAAGAUAUGUCACACUGUAAAGUGAGCGAACCUGGUGAACUGAAACAUCUAAGUAACCAGAGGAAUAGAAACAAAAGUGAUUCCGCUAGUAGUGGCGAGCGAACGUGGAACAGCCUAAACCUAUGUUGUUAAGGCAAUAUAGGGGUUGUA
rnacentral:rRNA from 1 species